UCGAUUUGGAGUUUGUUGCCUAGAGUGAUGGGCUCCGAAGCUAACGCGAUAAAUCGACCGCCUGGGGAGUACGGCCGCAAGGUUAAAACUCAAAUGAAUUGACGGGGGCCCGCACAAGCGGUGGAGCAUGUGGUUUAAUUCGAUGCAACGCGAAGAACCUUACCUGGUCUUGACAUCCACAAAAUUUUUCAGAGAUGAGAGAGUGCCUUCGGGAACUGUGAGACAGGUGCUGCAUGGCUGUCGUCAGCUCGUGUUGUGAAAUGUUGGGUUAAGUCCCGCAACGAGCGCAACCCUUAUCCUUUGUUGCCAGCGAUUAGGUCGGGAACUCAAAGGAGACUGCCGUUGAUAAAACGGAGGAAGGUGGGGACGACGUCAAGUCAUCAUGGCCCUUACGACCAGGGCUACACACGUGCUACAAUGGCGUAUACAAAGGGAAGCGAAGGUGCGAGCUGGAGCGGACCUCCUAAAGUACGUCUAAGUCCGGAUUGGAGUCUGCAACUCGACUCCAUGAAGUCGGAAUCGCUAGUAAUCGUGAAUCAGAAUGUCACGGUGAAUACGUUCCCGGGCCU
rnacentral:rRNA from 1 species